AUAUCUCCCUUCUGCAGAUCCACCUCUGCAUUGCUAAGUGGACUAGACAUAGGGCAACCCCAGAGGAGAGUAAAUAUAAAUGGCCAGCUUUGAGUCCAUAGGCAAAAGGAUGCGAGAGGAAAUAGAGGCAGAGAUGUAGAGAGUUGCAGAGAUGCAGAAAGAGGGACAUAGAGACAUGCAUAUACUUGCUUUUGCUUCCUGCUAACCCCUGCUGAGAUUACCAAUAAAGAAAGGCUGUUUGGCACAUCAGCUUGUCUUCAUGUGUAUCCGGGGAAGAUUGGUCUGAGACUCCUGAAAACCCCAAGUCUCCAGAAUGAGUGAAGGAAGUGGUGGAAGACUGCAUUAGUACAGAAGUAAGAGUAUGUUUUUAUCAACCAAAUCUCUCCUAUGUACCACUCUCCUUUUCCCAGUCAUUCCUGAUUGGUUGAUAUUCUACUGACUAAUAGCACUUCCCUCUCAGCCUUUUUCAUGCCUUCCUAUAUAUGUUCUCCCUUCCUUGUCAUGCAUCUCAUGUUCAAAGAUGGCAGAAAAUUCCUUCUCUGGACCUUAUGGGUAAAUAUUCAACUAGUCCAUAAGCAAGCUCAUUCUCCAUUUGCCCUGCUUCUCCCUCCCUUCCCCCCCCCCCAGUUUGAGCUGGAUAGGGGUCUGUUAUAAGACUGUGGUUGAAAGAUACAUGGACCCAUUCUGAUGGUUCCACCUGUUAAGCAACUUUUUGAUUUUCUUUCAGAAUUCUAGCUUUCUGUGGUGGAUGGUUGGGGAGGGGAGGACACACUAUUUUGUUAUUCCAUCCUGGGGUCCAUCUAUCACAAUAAUGAAAAAAAAAAAAGCAAUAAAUAAAUAAAUAAAUAAAAAGA